rnacentral:rRNA from 1 species
GCUGGCGGCGUGCCUAAUACAUGCAAGUCGAGCGGACCAAAUCGGAGCUUGCUCUGGUUUGGUCAGCGGCGGACGGGUGAGUAACACGUGGGCAACCUGCCCGCAAGACCGGGAUAACUCCGGGAAACCGGAGCUAAUACCGGAUAACACCGAAGACCGCAUGGUCUUUGGUUGAAAGGCGGCCUUUGGCUGUCACUUGCGGAUGGGCCCGCGGCGCAUUAGCUAGUUGGUGAGGUAACGGCUCACCAAGGCGACGAUGCGUAGCCGGCCUGAGAGGGUGACCGGCCACACUGGGACUGAGACACGGCCCAGACUCCUACGGGAGGCAGCAGUAGGGAAUCUUCCGCAAUGGGCGAAAGCCUGACGGAGCGACGCCGGCGUGAGCGAAGAAGGCCUUCGGGUCGUAAAGCUCUGUUGUGAGGGACGAAGGAGCGCCGUUCGAAGAAGGCGGCGCGGUGACGGUACCUCACGAGAAAGCCCCGGCUAAUACGUGCCACAGCCGCGGUAUACCUAAGGGGCNACCUUNUCCGG